GACGAACGCUGGCGGCGUGCCUAAUACAUGCAAGUAGAACGCACAGUUUAUACCGUAGCUUGCUACACCAUAAACUGUGAGUUGCGAACGGGUGAGUAACGCGUAGGUAACCUGCCUGGUAGCGGGGGAUAACUAUUGGAAACGAUAGCUAAUACCGCAUAAUAUUGAUUAUUGCAUGAUAAUUGAUUGAAAGAUGCUAUUGCAUCACUACCAGAUGGACCUGCGUUGUAUUAGCUAGUAGGUGAGGUAACGGCUCACCUAGGCGACGAUACAUAGCCGACCUGAGAGGGUGGGCGGCCACACUGGGACGGAGACACGGCCCAGACGCCUACGGGAGGCAGCAGUAGGGAAUCUUCGGCAAUGGACGAAAGUCUGACCGAGCAACGCCGCGUGAGUGAAGAAGGUUUUCGGAUCGGAAAGCUCUGUUGUAAGAGAAGAACGGGUGUGAGAGUGGAAAGUUCACACUGUGACGGUAUCUUACCAGAAAGGGACGGCUAACUACGUG
rnacentral:rRNA from 1 species